GAUGAAGAACGUAGUGAAAUGCGAUACGUAAUGUGAAUUGCAGAAUUCAGUGAAUCAUCGAGUCUUUGAACGCACAUUGCGCCCUCUGGUAUUCCGGGGGGCAUGCCUGUCCGAGCGUCAUUGCUGCCCUCAAGCACGGCGUGUGUGUUGGGCCCCCGUCCCGGUUCUCCAAGCCGGGACGGGCCCGAAAGGCAGCGGCGGCACCGUGUCCGGUCCUCGAGUGUAUGGGGCUCUGUCACCCACUCGUGUAGGUCCGGCCGGCGGCCAGCCUCUUCAACCAAACUUUUAACCAGGUUGACCUCGGAUCAGGUAGGGAUACCCGCUGAACUUAAGCAUAUCAAUAAGCGGAGGA
rnacentral:misc_RNA from 1 species